CCUACGGGAGGCAGCAGUGAGGAAUAUUGGGCAAUGGGCGCGAGCCUGAACCAGCCAAGUAGCGUGAAGGAUGACUGCCCUACGGGUGGUAAACUUCUUUUAUAAAGGAGUAAAGUGAGGCACGUGUGCCUUUUUGUAUGUACUUUAUGAAUAAGGAUCGGCUAACUCCGUGCCAGCAGCCGCGGUAAUACGGAGGAUCCGGGCGUUAUCCGGAUUGAUUGGGUUUAAAGGGAGCGUAGAUGGGUUGUUAAGUCAGUUGUGAAAGUUUGCGGCUCAACCGUAAGAUUGCAAUUGAUACUGGCAGUCUUGAGUACAGUUGAGGUAGGCGGAAUUCGUGGUGUAGCGGUGAAAUGCUCAGAUAUCACGAAGAACCCCGAUUGCGAAGGCAGCUUACUAAGCUGUGACUGACAUUGAUGCUCGAAAGUGUGGGUAUCAAACAGGAUUAGAUACCCUUGUAGUC
rnacentral:rRNA from 1 species